rnacentral:tRNA from 1 species
AUUUUUUUAGUAUAAUAGUAUAUUUGGCUUCCAACCAAAAGGUCUAAAUUAAUUAGAAAAAAAUA